AAAACGGAGUAAACACCGACACAUGAGACUGUUGAGUGGAGGUCAGUAGAAACUGACUGUUGAGAGGAAGUGCUAGCAAGUGUCAU